rnacentral:rRNA from 1 species
GCAGUCGAGCGGUAACAGAUCCAGCUUGCUGGAUGCUGACGAGCGGCGGACGGGUGAGUAAUGCAUAGGAAUCUGCCCGGUAGUGGGGGAUAACCUGGGGAAACCCAGGCUAAUACCGCAUACGUCCUACGGGAGAAAGGGGGCUUCGGCUCCCGCUAUCGGAUGAGCCUAUGUCGGAUUAGCUAGUUGGUGAGGUAACGGCUCACCAAGGCCACGAUCCGUAGCUGGUCUGAGAGGAUGAUCAGCCACAUCGGGACUGAGACACGGCCCGAACUCCUACGGGAGGCAGCAGUGGGGAAUAUUGGACAAUGGGGGGAACCCUGAUCCAGCCAUGCCGCGUGUGUGAAGAAGGCCCUCGGGUUGUAAAGCACUUUCAGCGAGGAAGAACGCCUAGCGGUUAAUACCCGCUAGGAAAGACAUCACUCGCAGAAGAAGCACCGGCUAACUCCGUGCCAGCAGCCGCGGUAAUACGGAGGGUGCAAGCGUUAAUCGGAAUUACUGGGCGUAAAGCGCGCGUAGGUGGCUUG